rnacentral:rRNA from 1 species
GGGUUCCUGUCCAACGUUAAUCGGGGCAGGGUGAGUCGACCCCUAAGGCGAGGCCGAAAGGCGUAGUCGAUGGGAAACAGGUUAAUAUUCCUGUACUUGGUGUUACUGCGAAGGGGGGACGGAGAAGGCUAUGUUGGCCGGGCGACGGUUGUCCCGGUUUAAGCGUGUAGGCUGGUUUUCCAGGCAAAUCCGGAAAAUCAAGGCUGAGGCGUGAUGACGAGGCACUACGGUGCUGAAGCAACAAAUGCCCUGCUUCCAGGAAAAGCCUCUAAGCAUCAGGUAACAUCAAAUCGUACCCCAAACCGACACAGGUGGUCAGGUAGAGAAUACCAAGGCGCUUGAGAGAACUCGGGUGAAGGAACUAGGCAAAAUGGUGCCGUAACUUCGGGAGAAGGCACGCUGAUAUGUAGGUGAAGUCCCUCGCGGAUGGAGCUGAAAUCAGUCGAAGAUACCAGCUGGCUGCAACUGUUUAUUAAAAACACAGCACUGUGCAAACACGAAAGUGGACGUAUACGGUGUGACGCCUGCCCGGUGCCGGAAGGUUAAUUGAUGGGGUCAGCGCAAGCGAAGCUCUUGAUCGAAGCCCCGGUAAACGGCGGCCGUAACUAUAACGGUCCUAAGGUAGCGAAAUUCCUUGUCGGGUAAGUUCCGACCUGCACGAAUGGCGUAAUGAUGGCCAGGCUGUCUCCACCCGAGACUCAGUGAAAUUGAACUCGCUGUGAAGAUGCAGUGUACCCGCGGCAAGACGGAAAGACCCCGUGAACCUUUACUAUAGCUUGACACUGAACAUUGAGCCUUGAUGUGUAGGAUAGGUGGGAGGCUUUGAAGUGUGGACGCCAGUCUGCAUGGAGCCGACCUUGAAAUACCACCCUUUAAUGUUUGAUGUUCUAACGUGGACCCGUGAUCCGGGUUGCGGACAGUGUCUGGUGGGUAGUUUGACUGGGGCGGUCUCCUCCUAAAGAGUAACGGAGGAGCACGAAGGUUGGCUAAUCCUGGUCGGACAUCAGGAGGUUAGUGCAAUGGCAUAAGCCAGCUUGACUGCGAGCGUGACGGCGCGAGCAGGUGCGAAAGCAGGUCAUAGUGAUCCGGUGGUUCUGAAUGGAAGGGCCAUCGCUCAACGGAUAAAAGGUACUCCGGGGAUAACAGGCUGAUACCGCCCAAGAGUUCAUAUCGACGGCGGUGUUUGGCACCUCGAUGUCGGCUCAUCACAUCCUGGGGCUGAAGUAGGUCCCAAGGGUAUGGCUGUUCGCCAUUUAAAGUGGUACGCGAGCUGGGUUUAGAACGUCGUGAGACAGUUCGGUCCCUAUCUGCCGUGGGCGCUGGAGAACUGAGGGGGGCUGCUCCUAGUACGAGAGGACCGGAGUGGACGCAUCACUGGUGUUCGGGUUGUCAUGCCAAUGGCACUGCCCGGUAGCUAAAUGCGGAAGAGAUAAGUGCUGAAAGCAUCUAAGCACGAAACUUGCCCCGAGAUGAGUUCUCCCUGACUCCUUGAGAGUCCUGAAGGAACGUUGAAGACGACGACGUUGAUAGGCCGGGUGUGUAAGCGCAGCGAUGCGUUGAGCUAACCGGUACUAAUGAACCGUGAGGCUUAACCUU